CUCUUGCUGUCCUGGAGAAGUAACAUCACCUACAGCUUCUCAUGAGCUCUUUGGAAGCAAUAGGUGCUGGUUUCUGACCAGGCUUCUUGGGUAGCCUCCCUGCUCCGGUAGGGAAGUGGUGGGUGGUGCAGACGUGCAGCAGCUUGAGUGGUGUGAGCCAAGGGUGGUGGGGUCCUUCAUGCUAAAAUCUGGCUGUUCUGCUUUGCUCCAGGCCUAUUGUUUCCUUCCUUUUUUUAGAAGGAACCUGGAAGCUAGAGACACCCAGUUAGAAACUUCCCUGCGUGGUCAGGGAUCCUCACCCCGCUCUAGGUAUUUGUUCUUUUGGGGGCACCUGCAGAGCCUGACAUCUCCUGGCUUCAGGGAGUGCUUUUGGGUUAGGCCCUUGGCUGCGCUGUUAGUGGUCUGCGUAGGCUUUGGGAGCCCGUGUGUCCCCCGGUCAGCCGUCUCCUCUCCCAGCUCCCCAGCCAGCCUCCUGCAGCAGUGAUGGGGAAGCCCUGGCUGCCGUCGGUGUUGGUAGGCGGUAGUGGCGUGCUACGAAGCCUUUCGAAAAUGGAGACAAAGAAGCCACCGGCCUGGUAAGGAGAGCUCUGUGGUGGGUGGAAGGGGGAGCCGCGGGUGGCCCUGAGCCCGCGGGGCUCUGCUGGGCCAGGCUUGGGGCGGGCGGCUGGGGAAGGCGCAGGGCAGCAGCGCUGCUCCUGAGCGUCUGUCUGCCAGUUUUGGGGAUUCCUGAGCCGUGUACAAGGGAUUUCCUGGCAUCUCUUUAUGUAAGGGCUCUGGAUUGAUGCUUAGCCCCCGGAUUUACGUGGCUGUUACGUAGCUGCGUUCUUGGACCCAGCUACAGCCCUGGUCUCCAGCCUGCUGCGUCAGGGAGCGCCGGAGCGUCACGUUGGGUGUUAGGAGAGGUGAGAUCGUGGCAGGGCCUUCCGAUACCCCGCGUCUCGGUGUUCGAGGCAGGGGGGCUGCGUGUGCGGGCUCUGAGCCCCUCCUGCUCUAACAGCCCCCCGCCACCGCCUCCAGCCCCCAGCGCGCCCUGAGAGCAGCUCCCCUGUGGGGCUUGGCUGGGCCACGGAAUAAAAAUAACAAUAAUAAUAACA
rnacentral:lncRNA from 1 species